CUCUGUCCCUGGAAAGGUGAUGGAACAGCUUGUGCUGGAUGUCAUCUCCAGACAACUGGGAGAAAAGGAGGUUCUCAAAGGCAAUCAGCUCCAGUGCAGGAACAUUCUGAAAUGGAGCAGCAUAACACCCUAAUGUGUACAAAGGCAGCCUCAGGGAUGGAGGGUGACCAGGAACGUGGCAAUCAGCAUGUGGCAUAUCAGUUUGGUCUUGGUGUGGUAGUUCAUGCAGGAAGGACUAAAGGCCUGAAGGCAGAGAGGGCUAUCGUGGGUGCAAUGUGCUUUGCUUGAUGAACUUUUUGAGCAAAUGGCUGAAUUGCAUGAGGAAAUCAUCUGGAUGCAUAGUAUUCAGAAAUCAGAUAGGUAGAGAUUGAUGCCCGGUGUUGCGCAGUGACAUGGGCAGACUGCCAGCCCUGUCUUAAAUUCCUGCAAGAGGAGGAAACUAAACUAGAUUCCAACUUUGAGAAGACAGACCACAGAAACACACAAGACAGGGGAAACUGGACCUUCGUCUCUGCUCAGAGCACGAGUUGUCUCCUCCUGUAGUGCCCUUAAGCAACAGAUGCAAGGGCCCGGGGUUGGAAAAAGGUGAGGGCACGGGUAAAUGAUUUAGACUCAGGAAGAGACAACCGCAUUAAGUUGCUCCAACCAAGGACCCAAUUUAGAAUCAAUGCCACCAAAAACAGGCAAAGGAUGUUAGUAACUGAGGACUCCUCGCUCAGAGGUACCCAUUUGUCCGUCGCCCAGACAAUAAGAAGAGGCUACUGAGUCUUAUAAAGCCAGAGGAAUACGAUCCACUCCUGCAUCUUCAAGUUGGGUCAGCUGAGGCUGCAAGAAGGAAAUUUCAAAUAUUAAAAGAGACUUCAUGUUCCUUGGAAGGAUGUUGAAGGAAUUGGGAGUAUGGGGAGUGUCCCCUGUCCUCCCAGGGACCUCCGCCUGGGACCCAGGUAGAAGGAGGAGAACAGAUCAGUUGAAUGACUGGUGUGUGGGUGGUGUCACACUCAAAGUUUUGGGUUCCUUGAUUGAUGAUGUCCUUUUUGAGAGACCAGGCACGUUGACAUUGGAUGGGAUGCAACUGACCAGUGGAGCAAAAACAUCCUGGGCUGAAGAUUCAGUGAGGGAAGGGGAUGUACUUCUGAGUGACAGGGAAGAGCCAGGGAACACUGUCGCUUUAGAAAGCAGAAGGGGAAAACCUCAGAUUUUUCCCAGAGGAAUUCAGGAGGGCUCCUCCGAGAACAUAACAUGGCUGAUAGCCCGGCUGAAAUGCCAUUACUUUAAUGCAAGCUGACUUAGAAAUUAGCAAGAGGAGCUGGAAGUCACUGUGCAAUUAGAAAACUGUGACCUAAUUGGUAUCAUGAAAACAUGGUGGGACAAAUAACACAACUGGGACACUAAAAUUGAAGGUUAAAAGCUUUUUGGAUGAGAUAGGCAGAGCAGAGGGGCAGAGGAAUUGCCUCUAUGCUAGGAGAUGAAUAGAUUUUGAAAGAGCUGUCUCUAAAAAACAGCUGUGAUCAUAUUGAGAGUCCAAAAUAAGAGUGAGGAACUACCAAACCAAUAAAGAGAGCAUGAGAAGAACAUGGCUCCGUUUACCCACCCUGGUUAAACAACUGCAAGUGAAUUCAAAACUCAGCAUCUUCUGUGAGAUUCAUGUUUUUCCUUCCAUCUUACUGAGAAAAGAAUUCUUCUCUGUUACCCGCAUGCCUGCACUCUGUAGAUGAGGAAAUACAGUAUUUGCAUACAUAAUGGUGUUUCUCCCAUCUCACAGAGCUGGAAGUCUGAGAGACAUGAAAAGGUAAAGCUGCAGGUGCUCUUAUUUACAGAACAGUGCAGAAGCCGAUGAGAUCUGAGGAAGAAACACACCUUCCACACUCCGUAGCCUCAAAAGAAGUGAAAGGAAGUCGGAUCCGGUUUCUACAAGCCCUUUUCCAGUAACUUUAAUGAAAAUCUUUUCAUUUUAAAGGUGUUGUGGAGCUACUUACUUUCAUUCAUAGUUUUCCUGUUUUCCUCUGAGGUAAAACAGAUUUAUGUGUGAAAGGACAACCUGCACUUGUCAGAGUGGAGCCAUCUGCCGUUUCUUGUUUACAUCAGCUCCAUGAAACCAGCCUCCAAGCCUCUGCAUUUUCUUCUAUGUGCUGAUACCAGUAUGACUUUUCUGUAAUUAAUUCUUUCCUGACAUUGCAGGAUCACAGGAUAAUUCAGCCUCCCCUUGAGUGUAUUUGACAUCUCGCUGUCCCUGUCAGCGCAAGAUCCCAGUGGAAACAGCAGCUGGGAGGGCUCUUCCUGCCUAGGGGAGGCUCCUCAGGAGUUUGUGGGAUUUACCAAUCUCUCCCUGUCCCUUACCGAGGGCCAUGUGCAGUGGCAAGCUGCAGACAGGUUUGCUGGUGGGCAGCUACUUCGUCUACUUGCUGGUGGGUGCAGCUGUGUUCCAGGCACUGGAGAGGACUGCCGAAAAGCAGCAGAAAAUGGCAGCUGCUCAGAUGAAGGAGGCUUUUCUGCAGAAUUUCACUCAGCUCACAGUGGCAGAGAUGGAGCAGUUUAUGAAGGUUAAGGUUUAAGCUGGCCAUGGGAGCUGAAAAAGGCAGAGAAAACCCCAUCACGAAGAGGAUUGAAUGGCUGAAGUCCCUUCCAGUUUCCACUCUGUGUUCUACUGCUACUCUCUGAACGGAUGGCAGGAUGAAUCCAGGGCAGGACACAGCCCAGCUGCUGGCAGCUGAGUUGACUGCAGCCGUACAGGUGAGAGUUCCUGCCAGGUUGGGGCAUGGCCUUGGGAAUGAUGCAGGCAGCUAACCUGUGGGCAGGAUGGCACAGUGCAGUUACCCUAUUGCACAACCCUGCCUGCUUUCUGGUUAAAGCUACGGGGCAUCAGCUGCUCUUCCAGCCCCAGAGGUAGGCUGGGUAGGGGAGAGAGAGUGGGUGUCCCAUGAAAACCCUUAAAAUCACACAUCAAAGCAGUGGAAAGAGAGGGGCUGAGGUGCCCCGUGAGACUGAUCUAGGCAGAGACUGGAAGAGGCAAAGUCCAACCCAAGUCCUUCUGUUAAAUGAACCAAUAAUAAAUGCUUGUUGUUUCUGAGAUGUAUGGCUGUUGCAUGCUGCCAAUGGCCUUUUACCUGCACAUUGUGCUUCCUCGCAUGGCCAGGCAGGCAGGAGGCUGGGGAAAGCUUGCAGCACCUGCAGCAGCACAGGUAAUGUUGGUUCAGGCCCUGCUCUGCAAUGGGGGAGUCAGCUUUCACUGUAAUGAGGACCUUUGGCUGCAUAGUAUGUGCUUUGUGGAGCUGUUCAUCCUGUCAUUAGUGGUGACUUCUCUUUAGCAGAGAAACAAAUGAAACACUCAGGCCUGGAGGAUGUUUUUUUUUUUGGCUCCGUCCAUAAUAAAUAAUAUCUCUGUCAUUUCUCUUGCCUCCCCAGCUACAGGUCUGAGCUGGUCCCACAGCACACAUCGCACGUUGCUGUUGCUCUGAUGUGUCUCCGUAUUCACAGUUGCUAACACAGAGGACUGUUCACUGCUGAGUGAUUUCAGAGCUGUUUGGUGGUGCCUGAGUGUAAGAUUUCGGUGAAGAUUUCUGGUUAGUUCAGCUGUGGGCCUUCCUGGGUCACCCAGAGGAGAACUUCUCCCCUGGGUGACCCUCAGCUGGAGAAAAUGGGCAUGUUGAGGCCAGGGAGAGGGCCCAGGGGGCAAAUCUACACGGCAGGGUGGUUGUGAGGAUCUCAUGUGGUCACUUCUCACAGGUAAUUAGCUUAAAUUUGUCACUGGGCAGAACGUCCACUGCUGUUCAUGGCUGCUUCUGCUGGCACUGCUCUGACCCGUGCUCCCAUGCCACCAAUGAGAAAGCUGCUUCUGCAUUGAGUCUGCUGUCCACAGGAAGACACUAGGUGGGACAGAAGGCCUUCUGGGCAGCCUGUUAGCAUUUAGCUGAGAAAAGUCAGUCUGCCCCACAUGCGAGCCAGUCUUCCACUGCAAGGCUCCAGUGAUACAAAGGCAGAAAGCUGAAACCUAAGCUGUGCUACAUUAGCAGCUCAUCGAGCUUGCCAGCCUUCUGUCCUCAUUGUUUGUGCCAGUGUAAAUCUAACACACUUCGAUAGGGAAUUCAAGGUGUGCCCAGACUGGGUCCUUGCUGAAAGCAAAAGCUGGAGAAGCCCUUGUGAAUCAUAGAAUCACAAGGUUGGAAAGGACCUGCAAGAUCAUCAUGUCCAACCGCCCUCCCAUCACCACUGCUACCACAAGCUACUAAACCAUAUCUCUUAGCUCUUCAUCCAGACACCACUUGAACGCUGCCAGGGGGGCUACAGGCCUGUCAGCUUGACCUUGGUACCAGGCUGACAAAUGGACCAACUGGUACUGGACCAACUACAGGCUGAGAGGCUCUGCAAGGAUCCUCCUUGCGGCCCUUCUUGUAGAUGGCAUCACAUCGGCAAGCCUCCAGCCCUCUGGAACCUCUCCAGAUAACCAGGAGUGCAGGCAGGUGCCGGGCUGUAUAGUUACCGUAGAUGAGGUACAAAACUUAUUUUAUGGAUGUGUAUGUUUUCUUAAAAGGUAAAAAACAGCCACAAAAACAUACAGCCAGUGGUAUAUGUGACUUUGUUCUGGUGAAACCAAUGCAUCAACUUCUAGUUCAACAGCAGUGGCUGCAGUUCUUAGCAAGUUCCCAAGGGGUUUGACAGAGAUCAUACAAAGAGUUUGCUCACUCCGUGGGGGC